UGUCAGUCUUGAGUGUGGUCAAGGUAGGCGGAAUGUGUAAUGUAGCGGUGAAAUGCUUAGAUAUUACACAGAACACCGAUUGCGAAGGCAGCUUGCUAGACCAUUACUGACGCUGAUGCACGAAAGCGUGAGGAUCGAACAGGAUUAGAUACCCUGGUAGUCCACGCCGUAAACGAUGAUCACUCGCUGUUAGCGAUACACUGUUAGCGGCUAAGCAAAAGCAUUAAGUGAUCCACCUGGGGAGUACGGCCGCAAGGCUGAAACUCAAAGGAAUUGACGGGGGCCCGCACAAGCGGAGGAACAUGUGGUUUAAUUCGAUGAUACGCGAGGAACCUUACCUGGGCUUAAAUGUAGAGUGCAUUGGUGUGAAAGCAUCAUUUUCUUCGGAGCUCUCUGCAAGGUGCUGCAUGGUUGUCGUCAGCUCGUGCCGUGAGGUGUCGGGUUAAGUCCCAUAACGAGCGCAACCCUUAUCGUUAGUUGCCAGCGGGUAAUGCCGGGAACUCUAACGAAACUGCCGGUGUAAACCGUGAGGAAGGUGGGGAUGACGUCAAAUCAGCACGGCCCUUAUGUCCAGGGCUACACACGUGUUACAAUGGCCGGUACAGAGGGCAGCUACCUGGAAACAGGAUGCGAAUCUCCAAAGCCGGUCUCAGUUCGGAUCGGAGUCUGCAACUCGACUCCGUGAAGCUGGAUUCGCUAGUAAUCGCGCAUCAGCCAUGGCGCGGUGAAUACGUUCCCGGGCCUUGUACACACCGCCCGU
rnacentral:rRNA from 1 species